rnacentral:rRNA from 1 species
CUUGCGCAAUGGGCGAAAGCCUGACGCAGCCACGCCGCGUGCUGGAAGAAGGUCCUAUGGAUUGUAAACAGCUUUUGUUAGGGAAGAAUCCCCGGGUUUCGAUCUGGGUUGACGGUACCUAACGAAUAAGCACCGGCUAACUCCGUGCCAGCAGCCGCGGUAAUACGGAGGGUGCAAGCGUUGUCCGGAAUCAUUGGGUGUAAAGGGUGCGUAGGCGGAAUGCUAAGUCUGAGGUGAAAUCCUGCCGCUUAACGGUAGAACUGCCUUGGAUACUGGUAUUCUUGAGUACAGAAGAGGUCGGUGGAAUUCGUAGUGUAGCGGUGAAAUGCUUAGAUAUUACGAAGAACACCAGUGGCGAAGGCGGCCGACUGGUCUGUAACUGACGCUGAGGCACGAAAGCGUGGGGAGCGAACAGGAUUAGAUACCCUGGUAGUCCACGCUGUAAAAAGAUGGAUGAUAGGUGUUGGCCUUCGGGUGUUUUGCUGCAGUAAAAGCAUUAAGCAUACCCGCGGGGGKGAGUACGU